GACGAACGCUGGCGGCGUGCUUAACACAUGCAAGUCGAACGGAAAGGCCCUGCUUUUGUGGGGUGCUCGAGUGGCGAACGGGUGAGUAACACGUGAGUAACCUGCCCUUGACUUUUGGAUAACUUCAGGAAACUGGGGCUAAUACCGGAUAGGAGCUCCUGCUGCAUGGUGGGGGUUGGAAAGUUUCGGCGGUUGGGGAUGGACUCGCGGCUUAUCGGCUUGUUGGUGGGGUAGUGGCUUACCAAGGCUUUGACGGGUAGCCGGCCUGAGAGGGUGACCGGCCACAUUGGGACUGAGAUACGGCCAAGACUCCUACGGGAGGCAGCAGUGGGGAAUAUUGCACAAUGGGCGGAAGCCUGAUGCAGCAACGCCGCGUGCGGGAUGACGGCCUUCGGGUUGUAAACCGCUUUCGCCUGUGACGAAGCGUGAGUGACGGUAAUGGGUAAAGAAGCACCGGCUAACUACGUG
rnacentral:rRNA from 1 species